rnacentral:rRNA from 1 species
GAUGAACGCUGGCGGUGUGCCUAAUACAUGCAAGUCGAGCGAACAGACGAGGAGCUUACUCCUCUGACGUUAGCGGCGGACGGGUGAGUAACACGUGGAUAACCUACCUAUAAGACUGGGAUAACUUCGGGAAACCGGAGCUAAUAUCGGAUAACAUGUUGAACCGCAUGGUUCAACAGUGAAAGACGGUCUUGCUGUCCCUUAUAGAUGGAUCCGCGUCGCAUUAGCUAGUUGGUAAGGUAACGGCUUACCAGGGCAACGAUGCGUAGCCGACCUGAGAGGGUGAUCAGCCACACUGGAACUGAGACACGGUCCAGACUCCUACGGGAGGCAGCAGUAGGGAAUAUUCCGCAAUGGGCGAAAGCCUGACGGAGCAACGCCGCGUGAGUGAAGAAGGUCUUCGGAUCGUAAAACUCUGUUAUUAGGGAAGAACAAAAGUGUAAGUAACUAUGCACGUCUUGACGGUACCUAAUCAGAAAGCCACGGCUAACUACGUG